ACAGGAAUGUGUGCCCGACAGAUUUAAUGAAACACAAAUAAGACUGAUGUGCAAACAAACUGUGUAUUACUACAGCUUUCACUGCUGUGGAUGCACUGAGCAGCCAUGUUGGAU